UCAGACUCAGCAAGGGAGGAAGGUCUAGCUCCUGGUGCUUGGCCCCAGGGGCUAGUGAGUGUGCUUCUGUUUUCCUCAAGGAGGAAAGCUGGGCCAAGGGUGUGUCUCCAGUGACCACCCACCUAGUGAUAGUGCCUUUCUCACCAAGCAGGUGCAGUGUGAACUCUGAACUGACAGACUGACGGACUGACGGAGGAGCCUCUCUCCCAACUUGCUGGCAGAGCGAAUACUGGACAGAGGUGGCGAUAGCAGGUGGUGGGAAGACACUGAUGGUUGAGGCGUAGUCAGGCCAGGUCUGGCUUCACACAUGGACUCAUCUUUACCCAUAUCUGGGUAGCCCUUGAUACCUACAUAUGGACUGAAAUGUUGCGGUAGCUCCAUUUAACGUGAAGAAAUGUGGUAUGUGUGUGUGAGAGAGAAUUCUGUGUUCAUGGUGGUAUCCAGGACUGCCUCUUUCUACUACUCUAAUUUUGAAUCUUUCUAUGCAAGGGUUGGUUAUAAAAAUAAAGGGUGGGCCAGUGAGAUGAUUCUUUAAGUAAAUGCUUGCUGCUCAAUGGUAAGAAUCUCAUUUAGAGUCCCAGAAUCCAUGUAAAGCUGGGUUUGGGAGCAUGGGUCUGUCAUCCUAGUGCUGUUGUGCCGAAGUCAGAGGAAGGAGAAUCCCCAGAAGGUCAUGGGCCAGCUAUACUGCUAUGUGCAGUGCUAGCCAUUGAAGAGUCGCUGCCUUAAUCAAGAUAGAAAGGUGAGUUUGUUCUCUGACUCCUACACGCACGUACACCGUGACAUGUAUGUGUCCAAGCUCACUCACAAACACACUUAAGUCUGAAGAACAGUGAAGUCUUUCUGAUAUUCAUAUGACCCCUGGAAUUGAUGUUCACUUUGUGAGAAGUUUUCCAUCCAAGGGAGGAUGGUUUUAGAAACGCCAUGAUUCCAGCUGGAAAGAUCUUCAGUCAUAGUCAGAUUUUAAAGAUUUUUAAAUGAUGGUUCUUUGGUCCUAAUUGUAUUCAGUCCUUAAAGGCUAUCUCGGGGCAGCUGAUCAGAGGGGAUGUGGGAGAUCCAUUCGGGACAGCAUUUUUCUAGGAAUGCUAGAGGGUGAGAGCCUUCCUGAGAAAUUUCACAGUGGCAAUAAAUAAUCCUGUUAGCUGUAUUUCAAGGCAGCCAGUGAAAUCUUUUCUUCUGGGAACAUGAUCUCUACUCUGUAUUUGUCACUUUUACUGACCCAAGUGGCCCAAAAGGUCUGAUGUUGACAAUAUUUGCCAUUUCUACUCCUAGGUGGGUCUCCAGUGGUGUAGAGCGGCCUCUUACGGGGAAUGGUCAUGUGACCCAGAGAGAUGGGAUGUGUCCACGGCCAGAGAUCCAGGCUGUCCUGGUUUUUAAAUGUGUCUGUUUGAAGGGCCAACCUGUUGGGGACAGUGGCACCAUAGUUUUCAAGUCUGCCUUCUUCUCUUUUCAUAGAAACUGAGACUUCGAGAAGCAUGAACUGAGACGAAAUAUGCCAACAUUUUGGUGGCAAAAAGAAAUGCAAGGAAAAACCAACAACAACAAAAAACCCCCAAAACCCCAGCUCUCUUGAUGUGCCCUAAAAUUGUAACUUUUCUUUGGAGGCAAUUAUAAUUUUUAUGUCAGUUCUCAUUAAAAUAAUAGCAGGCA